rnacentral:lncRNA from 1 species
GGCGACUGCCUCCCCUGAAUUUUCUACACCAAAAUUUUUUUAAAGUAAUAAAAUAAAAUAUUGACAAUAUGUACACGAAGAAAUUGAAUUUAUAUCAUAAACAACACAAGUUUACAGUUUAAACAGUGUUAUCAUGAUACGUGGUAUGUCUGUCCUUUUUCGGAUUUUUGAUCGAAAGUGAACCGUUUCAGUUACUUUUUUUUCGUGUGGCCGUCCGUCUGUUAUUCAGUAUUGAGGGGGUAUGUAUUCGUACGAGAACACAUAUGAAACUUUGCUUUCGAUAAUUUUGAAUAAAAACUUAACUAUUCACAUUUCUUUGGGGGCUCAAUUAAGCAGAGGAAGUUCCUUUUGUAUUGUGGGUCUUUUAAGAUAUCGGAAAUUCGUUACCGGCUGAAUCAGCUGUUGGAUCGUUUUUUAGGUCUCCCGAUCGUACGAGAACAUAAUUUAUGGUCAAUGCCUUGGUAGGUAAACACUCCCAUUCGUUGUAGCAGGGACUUUCUAUACUAAGUAUCUACUAGACUAAUAUAGAAAGUCCCUGGUUGUAGUUAUAUACAUGUCUGUUCAGCUUUUAACAAUAGUAUUGAAAUUCAAGAU